CCUACGGGAGGCAGCAGUGAGGAAUAUUGGACAAUGGGCGAGAGCCUGAUCCAGCCAUGCCGCGUGCAGGAAGACUGCCCUAUGGGUUGUAAACUGCUUUUAUACAGGAAGAAUAAGCCUUACGUGUAAGGUGAUGACGGUACUGUAAGAAUAAGGACCGGCUAACUCCGUGCCAGCAGCCGCGGUAAUACGGAGGGUCCGAGCGUUAUCCGGAAUUAUUGGGUUUAAAGGGUCCGUAGGCGGAUGAUUAAGUCAGGGGUGAAAGUUUGCAGCUCAACUGUAAAAUUGCCUUUGAUACUGGUCAUCUUGAGUUGUAUUGAAGUAGGCGGAAUAUGUAGUGUAGCGGUGAAAUGCAUAGAUAUUACAUAGAACACCAAUUGCGAAGGCAGCUUACUAAGUACUAACUGACGCUGAUGGACGAAAGCGUGGGUAGCGAACAGGAUUAGAUACCCUGGUAGUCCACGCCGUAAACGAUGGAUACUAGCUGUUCGGGGCCUUGAGUUCUGAGCGGCUAAGCGAAAGUGAUAAGUAUCCCACCUGGGGAGUACGUUCGCAAGAAUGAAACUCAAAUGAAUUGACGG
rnacentral:rRNA from 1 species